GAUAUGACAUCAUAAGGCUGUGCCUGGCUCUUGCUCUUUUGUGAUUUGGCUGAAGAAAGAAAAACAUCCACGUGACACACUAUUAUACAGAUGGCGUUUAUUAAAGAGGAGAGUGAAGACAUUAGGAUUGCAGAAGUAUUCAGCAUCAAACAUGAAGAUACUGAGGAACAAACAGGUAUAUUACAACGUCACAUCUGCCAAGCCAGAGUUGCUCAUGUCAUGCCGGCACCUCAAGAGAUUCUUCUCAACAUGGCCACCAUUUCAGAGUCUCAUCCCAUCAUGGCCGCCAUUUCACAGUAUGCUCACGCCACGCCUGAGU